CGGGCGUUUCCCUGCGCCCGCCCCGCCCUGCAUCACCGGCAGCGCGAUUCACUGCGCCGUCGGCGUCCGUGCCGCCCGGCGAGCUGCCGCGCCUGCUCCCGCCGGCCCUAGCCGGCCAUCCACCGUUGCCGCCUCCACCCGAGCGUUCGCCCAAUGCAGCAGGGUGCCCCCAGGUCGCGAGCAGAUCCCGACGGCGCUCCCUCCUCCAGUUCCCGACGCCGCCGCUCCUCCCGACGGCAUGCUCCCUCCUCCCGCCGUUGCCCCUCCCUCCCGAUGGCGCUCCCCUCCUCCGACGGAGCUCCCUCCUCCCAAUUCGCGAUCCGUUUCGCGACACCGCUCCGCCGGAAUCGGCGCUGCGUGCAUCAAGCUUCCUCACCACGCUGCAUCUCCGGUUGCUUGCACUGGACCCGCGGAAGCAACGCACGGAUCUCGUCUACACGGACUCCACCUGCUACCCCAGCCAUGGGCAGUCUGGCACUCGUCAGGUAGAUCCUGCCCCUGAUGGUUCAGUUGUUUGCGCAUAUUUUUUAUAGCUAGUCACCCAACUCCGCCUCGAGCCCUCGACUGCGGCGGCGAGGCGAUUGUGGAGUCAUUAGCACUGCCUCCGUUUUCUCUUGCCGGCACCGCCGUCAGGACAGCUAGAUCCAGGUUAAUUGCAUCAGAACCCAUUGUUCCAGACUUUGGAGUUGAAGGAAGCAUCGACCGAAGUCAGAGACCCUCUCCGAAAAUAGAAGGAGCUGAUCUGUUGAUUAAUUGUGAGCAUAAUCUCCCAAUCUGAGCAUCUAGUGUUGGAUUUGCCGGUGGCCGUCAUUAUCGUACCCGUGUUCGAUCUCGCCCGCGUCAGCGGACCACUCUUGGACACCUAGUUCCUCGUUUUUCUCCACUGCCGUGCUGACGAUGCCACCUUGGCGCCUCAUCCAACUGUGCGACUCUGUAGAGGCGCAUCGGAGCAGCGACAGCGGUAAGGGAGAGGAGAGACAUACUGGCUAGUGUAUGUGCUUUAGACUUAAGGAUCCACAUCCAUAAGGUAUAUCGUGGUUGAGCAGUAGGGGUUCUUGGUUUGGAUUGAUUAAUUUUCAUGUUGCGUUUUCCAGUAGAUAUCUCUGCUCAUGCUUAGAUAUGAGUGAAUUCAUUUCUUUUUGUUCCUUCCGACUUCCGUGCUAUGAUACUAUUCCUUCCCUGCUGUAAGGCUGCAAAUUACUUACUAUAGGUGAAGAAAGUUUUGGGAUGCAGGUGAAGGAUUUGUGUGGUCGAUUAGGGCUAUGGUAUUGCGGUGUUCAUUCUGUUCUUGCAAUUUAUUAUGCUAUCGUGGAAUUUAAUUUCACAUGGCAGAAACAUGUCCCUGCAUAUGGGGUAAUCAUGUCCACUCGUUCAGCUCCUAAUUUCCAUUUGCGAUCUUAAACUCUUUCUAAAAAAUAUAUCCCUUCAAUCUAAAUUUGAGUUAGGUUCUUAUUAAUCUUUCUACUAUAUAUGUUGCUUAUGUUUCCCAUGUGAUCUAUCCAGUAACAUCGUUUUAUCUGUCACUCUUAGUCCCAUUGCAUUCAGAAACAACAGUUUGGACUAUUCGUUUUUGAGUGAACUUAUACUCUGGAAAUUAAUUAGUUGUUUACUUUUAGUCCAUGCCGGCACAUUUACUUGUUGAUACGUUUGUUCAUAUCUGCUGAUAUAUUCUGUCAUGAGACCAUUACUGCUGCUAUAUCUGCAGAACUUUUUGAAGCAUCAGCAUUAAUUAUUGUCACAUUCCUUUAUUGUCAGGUACUUGGAACAGAAUGGGCUGAAUGCUUAUUUGAACAAGUACAUAAUUGAGCUUGACCAUCAGCAAGAUCAAGAGGCAAUAGUAUUCGCUGCAUCUUUGUACUUGUAACAUGUCUUGAUGGUGUCAUGAUUCCGUAAGAGCUCCAAAGAGCAUAGAGAAAUUAAAUCUCUCUUAGUUAUUUUGUUCCAAGUGUUCUUCGCCUGAUGGAGAUGUCUGGUGGAAACACGGAACAAUGAUAUGGCAGGCAAAAUUUUGUUAGUGUUGUGUUAACCAUGUAGGGCAUGUUUGGAAUACAAUAUGUAAGAAUUUGCAGGAACCUUUACAGCUGUACCAGAAAUUCUGAAGAACCACAAGAAUCGAUGUGGCUUGUACAAGUAAAUUAUUUAGGAAUAUUCCAUGUGAUCCUAUAUGCUGCUCUUUGUCUCUGUAUUA